AAGUGUUGCUUAAAUGAUAUUGCGCUUGGUGUGUCGUCUUCUCUCACGUCCGUGUCGUUUUUUAUGUCGCGCAAUAUCAUUUAAGCAAUGGAUUACCAACUUGCCCGGAAUGCUGCUCUCAUUGUGUAUGUGUGUUUUGUUGCUAUAGUCUCGGCGCCAAUUUUGUCAGUGGCAAUGGCAGUGACGAACAGAGACUUGUUUGGGAUAAUGCGCGGCCGCUGCAAAGAGCCAUUUUGUGACUGUGAGCGCUUCAGUGUCCUCAUUUCGGCGAACCUUCGCUGUGACUACUGCGACGACAGCCCCGGAUCGCAUGGGAAAAUAGACGAACUUGAUGGCAUUGCCAGCUGAUGAGCUCCAAGUAACAGCACCUCACAUUUACAACGCUCCUGACAAGAUAUGUAUUUUUGCUGGCAGCCAAGCCGAAGUCAUCACUGUCUCCACGUCUGAAAUACAACGGGCACUUAUUUUUUGCCUUUUGGCAUAUUAUGUUAAGUACCUAGAAUAUCCAUUUGCAUUUUACCAAAUGCUUGCUCUCGUGCAAAAAGAUUGUGCUGCCAGGAGACAAGCUAGUGAAAGGACUGCUUUCUACCCGUCUGAAACGUCUCUUUGCGCUCCUAAGCAGUAAAAAUGUAAUCUAGGGAGUAGUGCUGUUCGCGCUGCUUUCCAUGUUUUUCACCAACUCUGAA